rnacentral:rRNA from 1 species
AGCGUUGUCCGGAAUUAUUGGGCGUAAAGAGCGUGUAGGCGGUUCGGUACGUCUGCCGUGAAAACCUGGGGCUCAACCCCGGGCGUGCGGUGGAUACUGCCGGGCUAGAGGGUGGUAGAGGCGAGUGGAAUUCCCGGUGUAGCGGUGAAAUGCGCAGAUAUCGGGAGGAACACCAGUAGCGAAGGCGGCUCGCUGGGCCAUUCCUGACGCUGAGACGCGAAAGCUAGGGGAGCGAACAGG